UUCCUCGUGGCCCAAUGGUCACGGCGUCUGGCUACCAACCAGAAGAUUCCAGGUUCGAGUCCUGGCGGGGAAG